rnacentral:rRNA from 1 species
AUUGAACGCUGGCGGCAGGCCUAACACAUGCCAGUCGAACGGUAACAGGAAACAGCUUGCUGUUUCGCUGACGAGUGGCGGACGGGUGAGUAAUGUCUGGGAAACUGCCUGAUGGAGGGGGAUAACUACUGGAAACGGUAGCUAAUACCGCAUAACGUCGCAAGACCAAAGAGGGGGACCUUCGGGCCUCUUGCCAUCGGAUGUGCCCAGAUGGGAUUAGCUAGUAGGUGGGGUAACGGCUCACCUAGGCGACGAUCCCUAGCUGGUCUGAGAGGAUGACCAGCCACACUGGAACUGAGACACGGUCCAGACUCCUACGGGAGGCAACAGUGGGGAAUAUUGCACAAUGGGCGCAAGCCUGAUGCAGCCAUGCCGCGUGUAUGAAGAAGGCCUUCGGGUUGUAAAGUACUUUCAGCGGGGAGGAAGGGAGUAAAGUUAAUACCUUUGCUCAUUGACGUUACCCGCAGAAGAAGCACCGGCUAACUCCGUG